GACCUAAAAUAAACUUAGUCGUAAAUAUCCCCGAAACCCGCUAAGUUAACUAGAAAUGUAUGGUUUAGUUAAUAAGAGGGAUUGUGGAUUUAAAAUAAGAAGGGUGUAACAUCCCGAAAAUACACAUUCUUAAAUUUGUAUUUAGUUACAAAUAAAAUUGGUAAAAUAAACUAACCAGGAUUGGCAUUAACCUAGUUAAAUGACAACUUAUGAGUAGUUAAAAUGUUAAAACAAAAGAAAAAUGAAACUUGAGGGACUAAAGUUGUGUAAGUGAAAACUAGUAAUAAUAAAACAAAAAAAAAAUUAAAACACAACACUUGUUUGUGUUGUUGGGUUCGAUCAGAAGGCAGGGGGCGACUUCAAGCUCCCCAAAACCCUAGUUCACAUCAAAACCACCAAUUGAAGGAUCAAAUCGAGUCCAAAACGAAAAUCGAGCAUAUAUUCGUGAUCCCCAUUGAAAGGAGAUCAUAAGUUUGUCGCCUGACGAGCUAGGUGGAGGCUUGGAAAAGAAGCGGUCAAACGAAUCAAGCACGAGAGGAAAACGUAUUCGGAUGCGAGGAAAUAACAUGUGUUGCGUUGCUUUAAUUAGAAAAUUUAAAGCAAGAAGUAUGUAAACGGGUCAAUACUAUGAUCCAAGCCAGGU